rnacentral:rRNA from 1 species
UUGAACUAAGAAUAUAAGGGUUGAGCUUUAUAUUCAAUAAUUGAUAAAAGAUGAAUUAAUAAAUAAAUUAUUUAUAAAAUUAGGCUUUUUAGUGGCCAUAUUUAUAAAGUGUUUUAACUAAUAAAAUGUAAUUUUUUUUAUUUUUAUUUUCUCUUAAAAAAUUAUUAGGAUAUAUUUAUAUUAAAAAUAGAUUAGUAAUAAUGAAAAUAUUAGUAGAAAAGAAAAUAUUAAAAUUAUAAAAUAAUUAAUUUAGAAAAAUAUUUUUUAAUAAAAUAUAAAGAAAAAUUAAAGGAAUUCGGCAAAUUUUUUUCCUUGCCUGUUUAACAAAAACAUGUCUGUAUGAAGUUAUAUAAAGUCUGACCUGCCCGUUGAAGAAAUUUGAAAGGCCGCGGUAUAUUAACUGUGCAAAGGUAGCAUAAUCAUUAGUUUUUUAAUUGAAGGCUUGUAUGAAUGGUCUGACAAAGGAAAAGCUGUCUUUAGUUUUAAUUUUGAAUUUAACUUUUAAGUGAAAAGGCUUAAAUAAUUUUAAGGGACGAUAAGACCCUAUAAAUCUUUAUAUUAGAAUGUUAUCUUGAGAUUUAAUAGUUAGUUUGAAUUUAACAAGAAAACAAUAAAUAUUUUGUUGGGGUGAUGAGAAUAUAAAAAUAACUGUUCUUAAAAAAAAACAAAGUUGUUUGAAAUAAUUUAUAGAUCCUUUUUUGAAGAUUAAAAGUUUAAGUUACUUUAGGGAUAACAGCGUUAUUUUUUUUGAGAGUUCUUAUCGAAAGAAGAGUUUGCGACCUCGAUGUUGAAUUAAAAUUUCUUUACGGUGUAGAAGUUGUAAAAGAGAGUCUGUUCGACUUUUGAAAUUUU